AUUGAACGCUGGCGGCAGGCCUAACACAUGCAAGUCGAACGGCAGCGGGGGAUAGCUUGCUAUCCUGCCGGCGAGUGGCGGACGGGUGAGUAAUGCAUGGGGAGCUGCCCAGUCGAGAGGGAUAACAACUGGAAACGGUUGCUAAUACCGCAUACGCCCUUUGGGGGAAAGGUGGGGAACUUCGGUCCUACCGCGAGUGGAUGCGCCCAUGUGGGAUUAGCUAGUUGGUGAGGUAACGGCUCACCAAGGCGACGAUCUCUAGCUGGUCUGAGAGGAUGACCAGCCACACUGGAACUGAGACACGGUCCAGACUCCUACGGGAGGCAGCAGUGGGGAAUAUUGCACAAUGGGGGAAACCCUGAUGCAGCCAUGCCGCGUGUGUGAAGAAGGCCUUCGGGUUGUAAAGCACUUUCAGUCAGGAGGAAGGGGUGAUGGCUAAUAUCCAUCAUCAUUGACGUUACUGACAGAAGAAGCACCGGCUAACUCCGUGCCAGCCGCCGCGGUAA
rnacentral:rRNA from 1 species